GGACUACUGGGGUAUCUAAUCCUGUUUGCUCCCCACGCUUUCGCGCCUCAGCGUCAGUCAAGGACCAGGUCGCCGCCUUCGCCACCGGUGUUCUUCCCAAUAUCUACGAAUUUCACCUCUACACUGGGAAUUCCACGACCCUCUUCCUCACUCUAGACAACACGUAUCAAAUGCAGCCCCCAGGUUAAGCCCGGGAAUUUCACAUCUGACUGUGCCAUCCGCCUACGCGCCCUUUACGCCCAGUCAUUCCGAGCAACGCUAGCCCCCUUCGUAUUACCGCGGCUGCUGGCAC
rnacentral:rRNA from 1 species